CAAAGGAUAGUUUAAAGAAAAUAUUAAUUUUGGGAAUUAAAAAUAAAGAAUUUAUCUUUUUCUCUGA
rnacentral:tRNA from 1 species